CUACGGGGCGCAGCAGUGGGGAAUAUUGCACAAUGGGCGAAAGCCUGAUGCGGCAACGCCGCGUGGAGGAUGAAGCAUUUCGGUGUGUAAACUUCUUUUAUAAGAGAAGAUUAUGACGGUAUCUUAUGAAUAAGCACCGGCUAACUCCGUGCCAGCAGCCGCGGUAAUACGGAGGGUGCAAGCGUUACUCGGAAUCACUGGGCGUAAAGAACGCGUAGGCGGAUUUUUAAGUCUUGAGUGAAAUCCUAUGGCUCAACCAUAGAACUGCUUGUGAAACUGGAAAUCUAGAAUCUGGAAGAGGUAGAUGGAAUUAGUAGUGUAGGGGUAAAAUCCGUAGAUAUUACUAGGAAUACCAAAAGCGAAGGCAAUCUACUGGGACAGUAUUGACGCUGUGGCGUGAAAGCGUGGGGAGCAAACAGGAUUAGAUACCCCGGUAGUC
rnacentral:rRNA from 1 species